rnacentral:tRNA from 1 species
UCCAUGAUGGUCCAUUGGUUAGGACUCCACAUUUUCAUUGCUGAGGGCCUGGGUUCAAUUCCUGAUCAGGAAA